rnacentral:tRNA from 11 species
UGGGGAGUCGUCAAGUGGUUAAGACACUGGGUUUUGAUCCCAGUAUGCGUAGGUUCGAAUCCUACCUCCCCAGCCA